rnacentral:rRNA from 1 species
GACGAACGCUGGCGGCGUGCUUAACACAUGCAAGUCGAACGGUGAUGCUCCAGCUUGCUGGAGUGGAUCAGUGGCGAACGGGUGAGUAACACGUGAGCAACCUGCCCCAGACUCUGGAAUAAGCGCUGGAAACGGCGUCUAAUACUGGAUACGAAACUGGCCCGCAUGGGCAUGGUUUGGAAAGUUUUUCGGUUUGGGAUGGGCUCGCGGCCUAUCAGCUUGUUGGUGAGGUAAUGGCUCACCAAGGCGACGACGGGUAGCCGGCCUGAGAGGGCGACCGGCCAAACUGGGAACGGGAAAAGGCACAAACCCCCAAGGGGGGGAGGGGGGGGGAAAAAUGAAAAAGGGGGGAAAGCCUGAUGCAGGGACGCCGGGGGGGGGAAGAAGGCCUUGGGGGUGGAAAACUUUUUCAGGAGGGAAGAAGGGAAAGGGAAGGGAACGGGAAAAGAAGCACCGGCUAAAUAAG